GUGCACCAGUCGAGAAACUUCACACUGUGCGAAAGCACGAUGAGGGAAUCCCAAGUGCUUGCACGUAAGUGUAAGCUGUUUCUCUGUCUAAAACGCAGAGAGAGUAAGGGCUGGGUAAGACGGGUGCCAGCCGCCGCGGUAAUACCUGCAGCUCAAGUGGUGACCGUUAUUAUUGGGCCUAAAACGUCCGUAGCCGGUUUAAUAAAUGCCUGGGUAAAUUGUGUAGCUUAACUAUACGAAUUCCGGGUAGACUGUUAAACUUGAGACCGGGAGAAGUUAGAGGUACUCCUGGGGUAGAGGUGAAAUUCUGUAAUCCUAGGGGGACCACCAGUGGCGAAGGCGUCUAACUAGAACGGGUCUGACGGUGAGGGACGAAGCCCUGGGGCGCAAACGGGAUUAGAUACCCCCGUAGU
rnacentral:rRNA from 1 species